GAGACAGAAGGCCGCCUACCGGGGAGGCCGGAGGCCGGCUAGUCGCGGACUCGGGCGAACCCACCCUCGCGAUCUGUCAAGUCUGUCCCCAGGGGAGGUCCCCCUUUCGGGAGGAAGUUUUUAAGGGGAUUUCUCAAAAUCACCCCCGCGCUUCCUUCACUCCUUCCUUAGAGCCGGAGGUCGGUGAGGGCCCGCGGAAUCAUCUAUCUCGCCCCCGUCGCAGAAAUGGUUUAAGCAGCGCCUGGCAAAGUGGCGGCGCUCAGAAGGCCUGCCCUCAGAGUGCAGAUCCGUCACAGACUAAGGAGAUGGCAGGCAUUGACAGCUUCACUCCAUGAAGGCCAUCUCUGUUUCUCUCCUCCGCUUAACCAAGCUGUUGUGGUUUUUCAGCAUAGUGUUGUAUGUUCCAUUGCUAGCUGUCCUGCUGUUUAACACAGUGUUGUAUUUUUUUUCUAAAUGUACAUAAUUAGAAAAGAAAAUAACAAUAGGAAGCUAUGUGUAUCUUCUGUGUAAAGCAGUGGCUUCACUGGAAAAAUGGUGUGGCUAGCAUUUCCCUUUGAGUCAUGAUGACAGAUGGUGUGAAAACCAUCUAAGUUUGCUUUUGACCAUCACCUCCCAGUAGCAAUUUGCUUUCAUAAUCCAUUUAGCAAUCCAGGCCUCUGUUGAAAAGAUAAUAUGAGGGAGAAGGGAACACAUUUCCUUCUGAACUUACUUCCCUAAGUCACUUUCCUUAUGUAUCAUCUAAUACAAUGAUGGUUGAGUGAAAAUACAGAAGGGGUGUUUGAGUAUUCAGAUUUCAUAAAACACUUCCUUGGAAUAUAGCUGCAUUAACUUGGAAAGAAGCCUGUUGGGCCAGAAGACAGAAACUCCAACUGGCAAAAAAGCAAGCAUCUAAGAAAAAAAACCACCAAAGUUCUUGAAUUUACUAUAUUUAAAUGCAUUGGUUAAGUUUAUUUUGCUAAAUAAAGUGAACUGCUUUUUGUCUCUAAAAUGAUAUUCUAAAUAAAACCUUAACUUUUUGUUGAAGAUGCACUGA
rnacentral:lncRNA from 1 species